AAAAUGUACCGGGGCUAAACGUAUCACCGAAGCUGCGGACUGUUCUUCGAACAGUGGUAGGAGAGCGUUCUAAGGGCUGUGAAGCCAGACCGGAAGGACUGGUGGAGCGCUUAGAAGUGAGAAUGCCGGUAUGAGUAGCGAAAGAGGGGUGAGAAUCCCCUCCACCGAAUGCCUAAGGUUUCCUGAGGAAGGCUCGUCCGCUCAGGGUUAGUCGGGACCUAAGCCGAGGCCGAAAGGCGUAGGCGAUGGACAACAGGUUGAUAUUCCUGUACCACCUCCUCACCAUUUGAGCAAUGGGGGGACGCAGGAGGAUAGGGUAAGCGCGGUAUUGGAUAUCCGCGUCCAAGCAGUUAGGCUGGGAAAUAGGCAAAUCCGUUUCCCAUAAGGCUGAGCUGUGAUGGCGAGCGAAAUAUAGUAGCGAAGUUCCUGAUUCCACACUGCCAAGAAAAGCCUCUAGCGAGGUGAGAGGUGCCCGUACCGCAAACCGACACAGGUAGGCGAGGAGAGAAUCCUAAGG
rnacentral:rRNA from 1 species